UUGUUGUUGUUCAUUUCGAAGUAAUUCGGAGCAGCGGCUGAAGAUGGGAGAGGGUUGGACGGAGAGAAAACGGAGAAAAAAAUCAAAAUGUCAAGAACAAAAGGAACUGUGUAUACUUUUGAAUACCCUAUUUUAGAAGUGCUAGUGUAUUUAUUUAUUUUUAAGAUGAUAUAUAAUUGACACCCUGGCACCGCUAGGCAGAAAUUUCGGUUUCGUUGCAACAGAGUGAGGAAGUGUUUUUAAAAUUGAAAAUUUUAGGCAAUUAUUAAUUAAUCAGUCCAAGGAUGCAGAGGAACCCUAUUCUUUCACGUUUAAAAAAUAGGAGGAGCUGGUGGCGUUAAAAUAUGCUCGACUACUACAACCGCCUAUAUUGAGACCAUCACCGCCAUUCUUCGGCGAAAUAAUUUGCCUAAGUCGAUUAAAGGAGUUUUGGCAGAGCACCUUCUUUGCGACUUCAAUAUAGACGGUUUAAAUGGAAAAAAG